UUAGGACCCAGGAGGUCGCAUAUCUAGGAUGCAUUCGUCGAUUCGCAUGCUGCGAUUGGUGGUCCAGAUGCAACUCAUUUUGAGUGACAGAAAAACUGACCAAUCAUACUGUUCCUCUGAAUGGGUGGGUUCUCUUAUCACUUACUCUCAUAGAUGUAAUAUGUAUGUAUCUAUUAUGACAAAUUCUGCUCGCUCGUUCGCUCGGUUCGUGUUUUAAAGAUAAAUGUGACUUUACUGCGGUCUUUUUCGGUUUAUUUAGUUUUGUGUUAAUUAUAUCCACAAAGUAUUCGAAUAAAUUGGUAAUGUAAAACUAUUCUCCGCUGUAAAUUAAUUGUGUGCUCAACUGCGACGCCCUGUGUUGAAUUUUCCCGCGGAAAACAUGAACCAUUGCUGACUGAAUUGUUUGACAAAGGCGUCUUACUGGAGUACAGUAUCAUUACUGAGGGGAAAUAUUAUUCAUUUAAUUCCACAAAAGGCCUGAGGCAACGUGAAACAUUGCUGAGGGAGAACUUUAUUCACAACAAAAGGAUAAAGAUGAAGAGGCGGGACUUGAGCAGCUUGUGAUGGCUGUAAUUGUAAAGAAUGGAUUUUCUAGGAGUGGAAGCCCAAAGGAUGCUGGGAUUGUUAUCGAGGCCUUAAAGGUGUUCCCAGGGCAGGCUUUAUCAUCACUGGAUUGGAUUGGAUCUAUGCAUUGAAUCUCCAGUAUCCCAGGCAUCUUUUCAGGUGUUUCAGAAACUUUUCUUGGAGCUGGAUUCUUCAAAGUUUAUAAACUGAUUACAGUACAGUAAGUCUAAACUGCUGUCUGAUGUUCUGGGUGUGAAUCAAUGUAACAGAACACAAACAUGGAACCUUUCGUCGGGAAAUGUGGACAGUUUUCUUUAAAGACUGUAAAAUACUUUUUGAAGUGUACACUGUUACAAAUACACCAUUAAAAAUGAGAUGCUUUCCUGUUCUUUUGACUGCAAUAAAAUAAGAAUUGAUUCAUCUUUGUCUGUCAUUCUGAAAUCAUUACUAAUAAUAAUAUUAAUGGAUGAUGUUAAAUUAAAAUAGUAUAAUUGAAUAGUAUUUAUUGUAUAGUGCUAGGUCUUUGUCCUGUAUACCCAAUAUUUUGUUUAAAUUUAAAUUAAUUUCUAAUUGCAAAUUGCAGAUUACCUUUUUGAAUGGGUUACUAUUAAGGAGUUUAUGGAGUGAUUCUAACUCAAUUUUUAUUUGUUGAAUUUAAUUAAUGAUAUUGCUUGUAAUCUGUUGCCACACUUUUAUUGAGUAGAUAUGGCAUAAUAUUUUUUAUUGUAUAGUGCUAGAUCUUUGUCUAGUAUACACAAUAUUUUUGUUUAAAUUUUAAUAAAAUUUUUAAUUGCAAAUUGCAGUUUGGCUUUUUGAAUAUGUUAAUAUUAAGGAGUUUAUAGAGUAAAUCUAAAUCAAU